rnacentral:misc_RNA from 1 species
GCAAACUUGGUCAUUUAGAGGAAGUAAAAGUCGUAACAAGGUUUCCGUAGGUGAACCUGCGGAAGGAUCAUUAAUGGUUAUUUCUUGAAGGGCUGUAGCUGGCCAAAUGUAGGCAAGUGCACGCCUGGAUAGUCAAUGUGUUAUCCACACAACUCACAAGUGCACAACUGUAGCGUAGUGCUAGCUGCUGCGCUACGUUUGUUUGUUCAAUAAAAACGUGUAUGAAAAAAAAAAAGACUUUUGGGGAUCAGACGAUGUCAUAACAACUUUCAGCAACGGAUCUCUUGGCUCUCGCAUCGAUGAAGAACGCAGC